GAUGAAGAACGUAGCGAAAUGCGAUACUUGGUGUGAAUUGCAGAAUCCCGUGAACCAUCGAGUCUUUGAACGCAAGUUGCGCCCGAAGCCACUAGGCCGAGGGCACGCCUGCCUGGGCGUCACACGUCGUUGCCCCCCCAUCUACUCCUUCGGGAUUGCGGGGGGGCGGAUGAUGGCCUCCCGUGCGCCUAGCCGCGCGGUUGGCAUAAAUACCAAGUCCUCGGCGACGCACGCCACGACAAUCGGUGGUUGCGAAACCUCGGUUGCCCGUCGUGUGCGUUCGUCGCGCAUCGAGGGCUCGAAAAAAUGCUCGGCUUCGGCUCGGCUUUCAACGCGACCCCAGGUCAGGCGGGGUUACCCGCUGAGUUUAAGCAUAUCAAUAAGCGGAGGA
rnacentral:misc_RNA from 1 species